AAUAUUGGUCAAUGGAGGCAACUCCGAACUAGCCACGCCGCGUGCAGGAUGACGGUCCUAUGGAUUUUAAACUGCUUUUGUACCGGAAGAAAAAGCGUUACGGGUAGUUUAUUGACGGUACUGUAAGAAUAAGGAUCCUCCAACUCCGUGUGAGCUGCCGUCGUAAUACGGAGGAUUCAAGCGUUAUCCGGAAUCAUUGGGUUUAAAGGGUCCGUAGGCGGCCUUAUAAGUCAGCGGUGAAAGUUUUUGGCAUAACCAAAAAAUUGCCGUUGAUACUGUAGGGCUUGAAUUUUUGUGAAGUAACUAGAAUAUGUAGUGGAGCGGUGAAAUGCUUAGAUAUUACAUGGAAUACCAAGUGCGAAGGCAGGUUACUAACAAACGAGUGACGCUGAUGGACGAAAGCGUGGGUAGCGAACA
rnacentral:rRNA from 1 species